CAGGCUUAACACAUGCAAGUCGAGGCGUUUCGGGAAGAAAGCUUGCUUUCUUUGCCGGCGACCGGCGCACGGGUGAGUAACACGUAUCCAACCUGCCCUUUACUCGGGGAUAGCCUUUCGAAAGAAAGAUUAAUACCCGAUAGUAUAAUGAUUCCGCAUGGUUUCAUUAUUAAAGGAUUCCGGUAAAGGAUGGGGAUGCGUUCCAUUAGGUUGUUGGUGAGGUAACGGCUCACCAAGCCUUCGAUGGAUAGGGGUUCUGAGAGGAAGGUCCCCCACAUUGGAACUGAGACACGGUCCAAACUCCUACGGGAGGCAGCAGUGAGGAAUAUUGGUCAAUGGGCGCUAGCCUGAACCAGCCAAGUAGCGUGAAGGAUGAAGGCUCUAUGGGUCGUAAACUUCUUUUAUAUAAGAAUAAAGUGCAGUAUGUAUACUGUUUUGUAUGUAUUAUAUGAAUAAGGAUCGGCUAACUCCGUGCCAGCAGCCGCGGUAAUACGGAGGAUCCGAGCGUUAUCCGGAUUUAUUGGGUUUAAAGGGAGCGUAGGUGGACUGGUAAGUCAGUUGUGAAAGUUUGCGGCUCAACCGUAAAAUUGCAGUUGAUACUGUCAGUCUUGAGUACAGUAGAGGUGGGCGGAAUUCGUGGUGUAGCGGUGAAAUGCUUAGAUAUCACGAAGAACUCCGAUUGCGAAGGCAGCUCACUGGACUGCAACUGACACUGAUGCUCGAAAGUGUGGGUAUCAAACAGGAUUAGAUACCCUGGUAGUCCACACAGUAAACGAUGAAUACUCGCUGUUUGCGAUAUACAGUAAGCGGCCAAGCGAAAGCAUUAAGUAUUCCACCUGGGGAGUACGCCGGCAACGGUGAAACUCAAAGGAAUUGACGGGGGCCCGCACAAGCGGAGGAACAUGUGGUUUAAUUCGAUGAUACGCGAGGAACCUUACCCGGGCUUAAAUUGCAGUGGAAUGAUGUGGAAACAUGUCAGUGAGCAAUCACCGCUGUGAAGGUGCUGCAUGGUUGUCGUCAGCUCGUGCCGUGAGGUGUCGGCUUAAGUGCCAUAACGAGCGCAACCCUUAUCUUCAGUUACUAACAGGUCAUGCUGAGGACUCUGGAGAGACUGCCGUCGUAAGAUGUGAGGAAGGUGGGGAUGACGUCAAAUCAGCACGGCCCUUACGUCCGGGGCUACACACGUGUUACAAUGGGGGGUACAGAAGGCAGCUAGCGGGUGACCGUAUGCUAAUCCCAAAAUCCUCUCUCAGUUCGGAUCGAAGUCUGCAACCCGACUUCGUGAAGCUGGAUUCGCUAGUAAUCGCGCAUCAGCCACGGCGCGGUGAAUACGUUCCCGGGCCUUGUACACACCGCCCGUCAAGCCAUGGGAGCCGGGGGUACAAGAAGUACGUAACCGCAAGGAUCGUCCUAGGGUAAAACUGGU
rnacentral:rRNA from 1 species